rnacentral:rRNA from 1 species
UACGGAGGGAGCUAGCGUUGUUCGGAACUACUGGGCGUAAAGCGCACGUAGGCGGCGCAGCAAGUCAGGGGUGAAAUACCGGGGCUCAACCUCGGAACUGCCCUUGAAACUGCAGUGCUAGAAUCUUGGAGAGGCGAGUGGAAUUCCGAGUGUAGAGGUGAAGUUCGUAGAUAUUCGGAAGAACACCAGUGGCGAAGGCGACUCGCUGGACAAGUAUUGACGCUGAGGUGCGAAAGCGUGGGGAGCAAACAGG